rnacentral:rRNA from 1 species
UCACCGGGGCGACAGCAAUAUGAAGGUCAGGCUGAAGACCUUACCCGAUUAGCUGAGAGGUGGUGCAUGGCCGUCGUCAGUUCGUACUGUGAAGCAUCCUGUUAAGUCAGGCAACGAGCGAGACCCACGUCCACAGUUGCCAGCAUACCCUCCGGGGUGAUGGGUACACUGUGGAGACCGCCGCUGCUAAAGCGGAGGAAGGAGUGGGCAACGGUAGGUCAGUAUGCCCCGAAUCUCCCGGGCUACACGCGGGCUACAAUGGUUGGUACAAUGGGCAUCUACCCCGAAAGGGGAAGGAAAUCUCUUAAAGCCAAUCGUAGUUCGGAUUGAGGGCUGCAACUCGCCCUCAUGAAGCUGGAAUCCGUAGUAAUCGCGUUUCAACAGAACGCGGUGAAUACGUCCCUGCUCCUU